CCUACGGGUGGCAGCAGUGAGGAAUAUUUGUCAAUGGGCGCGAGCCUGAACCAGCCAAGUAGCGUGAAGGAUGACUGCCCUACGGGUUGUAAACUUCUUUUAUAAAGGAAUAAAGUGAGGCACGUGUGCCUUUUUGUAUGUACUUUAUGAAUAAGGAUCGGCUAACUCCGUACAAGCAGCCGCGGUAAUACAGGGGCUCCGUGGGUUUUCCGGUUUUUUUGGGUUAAAGGGAGCGUAGAAGGGGUUUUAAGUCAGUUGUGAAAGUUUGCGGGUCAACCGUAAAAUUGCAAUUGAUACUGGCAGACUUGAGUACAGUUGAGGUAGGCGGAAUUCGUGGUGUAGCGGUGAAAUGCUUAGAUAUCACGAAGAACUCCGAUUGCGAAGGCAGCCUACUAAACUGCCACUGACAUUGAUGCUCGAAAGUGUGGGUAUCAAACAGGAUUAGAUACCCGUGUAGUC
rnacentral:rRNA from 1 species